rnacentral:rRNA from 1 species
UACAGGGGGGGCAAGCGUUGUUCGGAAUUACUGGGCGUAAAGGGUUCGUAGGUGGCCACUUAAGUCAGACGUGAAAUCCCUCAGCUUAACUGGGGAACUGCGUCUGAUACUGAGUGGCUUGAGUGCAGGAGAGGAAUGCGGAAUUCCAGGUGUAGCGGUGAAAUGCGUAGAUAUCUGGAGGAACACCGGUGGCGAAGGCGGCAUUCUGGACUGUAACUGACACUGAGGAACGAAAGCCAGGGGAGCAAACAGG